rnacentral:rRNA from 1 species
UACAGAGGUCCCCGAGCGUUGUUCGGAUUCAUUGGGCGUAAAGGGUGUGUAGGAGGUCGGGUAAGUCGGAUGUGAAAUCUCACUGCUUAACGGUGAAAUGGCAUUCGAAACUGCUUGGCUAGAGGAUCGGGAGGGGAGAGCGGAAUUCUUGGUGUAGCAGUGAAAUGCGUAGAUAUCAAGAGGAACACCGGUGGCGAAGGCGGCUCUCUGGAAGAUUCCUGACUCUGAAACACGAAAGCUAGGGGAGCAAACGGGAUUAGAAACCCC